GCCUGGGUGGCUCAGUCAGUUGAGCACCUGACUUCGGCUCAGGUCAUGAUCUCUCACCUCGUGGGUUCAAGUCCCACAUCGGGCU
rnacentral:tRNA from 1 species